rnacentral:tRNA from 2 species
GCCCACGUAGCUCAGGAGGUAGAGCACUUCCUUGGUAAGGAAGAGGUCAUCGGUUCAAAUCCGAUCGUGGGCUCCA